rnacentral:lncRNA from 1 species
UGCAGAGUGUAGCAGGUUCCUUGGACUCAGGCUGCAGAGAGGAGGAACCGAGCCAGAGAGAACAAGUGCUUCUCCAAUUAAAGUAUGUUCAUGAUGGCGUUGUACAACUGAGUGAGCACCACAAAGUGGACGGGAAGGCAGGAGGUGCGGUCCUGGGUGGCCGGAUUGCACGUGAGCCAGGACAGAGCGUUGUACUGCUCCAAAACGAACCUGCCGGAGAGAGUACACAGGUCAGGGCCACGGGCCACAGCGGUGCUUUUACAUCUUAACGUUCCACAAGUCAGCAGGACGAGGCUCCGUAUAUGUCAGUCUUUCGCUUGCCCCCGGGUUUCCUCAUGGUUCUUUUCCCCCCGUGCCCACCUCAUCUAGACCCACACUGUCCAGUAUGGCAGCC